CAGUAUUAAGAAAGGAGAGAAGGUUAGCACUCCCCUUGACAAGAGGCCCCUCAGGCCUGACAACAUGCAUAUGGUUAAGGCAUUGCCAUCUACUUCAUGGCAUCCAGUCAUCAUUUUUU
ensembl:snRNA